AAGCGCUGGUUUCCCUUCAAAACGUACAAAUCUUUCGGCUUUUACUAAAGAUUUCCGUGGAGGGGAGUAACUCAAUGAAUUUAAAGCUAUUUUUUUAACGGCUCAUCCUUUGGGCCA
rnacentral:snRNA from 1 species